GACGGAAGGUGCAAGCGUUGCUCGGAAUUACUGGGCGUAAAGCGUGCGCAGGCGGCGCGUUAAGACAGGUGUGAAAGCCCCGAGCUUAACUUGGGAAUUGCGCUUGUGACUGGCGUGCUGGAGUGUGGCAGAGGGAGGUGGAAUUCCACGUGUAGCAGUGAAAUGCGUAGAGAUGUGGAGGAACACCGAUGGCGAAGGCAGCCUCCUGGGCCAGCACUGACGCUCAUGCACGAAAGCGUGGGGAGCAAACAGG
rnacentral:rRNA from 1 species